CCUACGGGAGGCAGCAGUGGGGGAUAUUGCACAAUGGGGGAAACCCUGGUGCGGCAACGCCGCGUGAGGGAAGAAGGUUUUCGGAUUGUAAACCUCUGUUUUCAGUGAAGAACAAAUGACGGUAGCUGAAGAGGAAGCCACGGCUAACUACGUGCCAGCAGCCGCGGUAAUACGUAGGUGCCAGCAGCCGCGGUAAUACGUAGGUGCCAGCAGCCGCGGUAAUACGUAGGUGCCAGCAGCCGCGGUAAU
rnacentral:rRNA from 1 species